AUUAUAAUGUGAUGGUCAAUCCCACUAUUCGUUGGUAAAGAAUAGCCCGAGAGUUGGCGGUAGGCAGUGUUAACUCUGCCUUCCCUCUUGUCUUACACACUAAAUU